rnacentral:rRNA from 1 species
UACGUAGGGGGCAAGCGUUGUCCGGAAUCAUUGGGCGUAAAGAGCUCGUAGGCGGUUUGUCGCGUCGAAUGUGAAAACCCGGGGCUCAACCCCGGGCCUGCAUUCGAUACGGGCAGACUAGAGUUCGGUAGGGGAGUCUGGAAUUCCUGGUGUAGCGGUGAAAUGCGCAGAUAUCAGGAGGAACACCGGUGGCGAAGGCGGGACUCUGGGCCGAUACUGACGCUGAGGAGCGAAAGCGUGGGGAGCAAACAGG